ensembl:snoRNA LOC120096399 small nucleolar RNA SNORA17
ACUGCCCCUAAAAGUAUUGCAAGUGCGGCCGCUGUGUCCCACAUGCAUCAGCAGGCAGCAGAGAGGAAAGAGGUCAUGUCUAUGAUCAGGGUUCUGACCAAUGAAUACAUGAAUGAUUAGUAGCCUAACCCU